UGGCUGAGCUGGCUGAGCACGACAUCGGCCUGGCUUUGAUCCGGACUGUCGCCGGGUGCGUUCAAGGCGCGCUCCAGCUGU
rnacentral:tRNA from 1 species